UACGAAGGGUGCAAGCGUUAAUCGGAAUUACUGGGCGUAAAGCGCGCGUAGGUGGUUCGUUAAGUUGGAUGUGAAAGCCCCGGGCUCAACCUGGGAACUGCAUCCAAAACUGGCGAGCUAGAGUAUGGCAGAGGGUGGUGGAAUUUCCUGUGUAGCGGUGAAAUGCGUAGAUAUAGGAAGGAACACCAGUGGCGAAGGCGACCACCUGGGCUAAUACUGACACUGAGGUGCGAAAGCGUGGGGAGCAAACAGGG
rnacentral:rRNA from 1 species